rnacentral:rRNA from 2 species
GAGUAAUGUCUGGGAAACUGCCUGAUGGAGGGGGAUAACUACUGGAAACGGUGGCUAAUACCGCAUAACGUCGCAAGACCAAAGAGGGGGACCUUCGGGCCUCUUGCCAUCAGAUGUGCCCAGAUGGGAUUAGCUUGUUGGUGAGGUAACGGCUCACCAAGGCGACGAUCCCUAGCUGGUCUGAGAGGAUGACCAGCCACACUGGAACUGAGACACGGUCCAGACUCCUACGGGAGGCAGCAGUGGGGAAUAUUGCACAAUGGGCGCAAGCCUGAUGCAGCCAUGCCGCGUGUAUGAAGAAGGCCUUCGGGUUGUAAAGUACUUUCAGCGGGGAGGAAGGUGUUGUGGUUAAUAACCGCAGCAAUUGACGUUACCCGCAGAAGAAGCACCGGCUAACUCCGUGCCAGCAGCCGCGGUAAUACGGAGGGUGCAAGCGUUAAUCGGAAUUACUGGGCGUAAAGCGCACGCAGGCGGUCUGUCAAGUCGGAUGUGAAAUCCCCGGGCUCAACCUGGGAACUGCAUUCGAAACUGGCAGGCUUGAGUCUUGUAGAGGGGGGUAGAAUUCCAGGUGUAGCGGUGAAAUGC